AAGUCGUUCCAAGGUUGCCGUAGGUGAACCUGCGGAAGGAUCAUUAACACGACCGGGUCGUCUAAAACAAACGCUGCCAAUCGCGGCCGCGAUAAUACGCAGUCGACAAAAACCGAACAACUGUUAACAAUGGAUAUCUUGGUUCGC
rnacentral:misc_RNA from 1 species